UGGGGAAUAUUGGACAAUGGGCGAAAGCCUGAUCCAGCCAUGCCGCGUGUGCGAAGAAGGUCUUCGGAUUGUAAAGCACUUUAAGUUGGGAGGAAGGGCAGUAAGCUAAUACCUUGCUGUUUUGACGUUACCGACAGAAUAAGCACCGGCUAACUCUGUGCCAG
rnacentral:rRNA from 1 species